GGGGUUGUGGCUCAGUGGUAAAGCGCUUGCCUAGCAUGUGUGAGGCCCUGGGUUCAAUUCUCAGCACCA
rnacentral:tRNA from 1 species